UUAGGAAUAUUCGUCAAUGGGGGAAACCCUGAACGAGCAAUGCCGCGUGAGUUAUGAAGGUCUAUUAGAUUGUAAGACUCUGUUGCGAGGGAAGAACAGCCUUUAUAGGUAAUGAUAAAGGUUUGACGGUACCUCGUCAGAAAGCCCCGGCUAACUACGUGCCAGCAGCCGCGGUAAUACGUAGGGGGCGAGCGUUAUCCGGAUUUAUUGGGCGUAAAGAGUUCGUAGGCGGUUUGGUAAGUCUAAGAUUUAAGGCUGGGGCUUAACUCCAGUUUGUUUUAGAAACUGUCAGGCUUGAGUGUGGUAGAGGCAAGUGGAAUUUCUAGUGUAGCGGUUAAAUGCGUAGAUAUUAGAAGGAACACCAGUGGCGAAGGCGGCUUGCUGGGCCAUUACUGACGCUGAGGAACGAGAGCGUGGGGAGCAAAUAGG
rnacentral:rRNA from 1 species